GUUUAUGGCCAUAUCCCCGAGAAUUCGCCCAAUAUCAUUGAUCUCAGAGGCUAAGCAGGGUCAGACCUAUUUAAUACUUAGAUGGGAGACCACCUGCGAAUACUGGGUGAUGUAGGAU
rnacentral:rRNA from 1 species